CCCAAGAGGACCCUUUAUGAAGAAACCACAAAGAAGAUUCUGGAAGCACUGAUGACCUCUCUAUCACCAUUAAAGCCCAUUUAUGGAGCUCCAUGGGGGAGGGAGAAGUCUGGCUGAGGCCGGUGUGUUCCUUUGACUUCUAAGAGCUCAGAGAAAAGACUGCCCAGAAUCAGGGGCCAGAGACUCUGAAAUAGAAACUGGCUCAAAAGCGGCGAAGUUCCCAGACCUCUAGUUCUAACCCUGCAGUAACAGAUGGGCCCAGAGGAAAGGAGAAGAUGUAUUUCCUGGAUGUUCCACUUCUAACAGGAACUGACUGGAUGCCUUGGCCAUGGGAGUCUGUGAAUCUAGAUGCCUGAGUUUCCUGAAAGAAUCCAGACAGAAGCCCUGAGACAUGCCAGGCAUGUUGCUUCUAGAACAUGUCUCUCGCCAGGCUCCUGGGCUCCAAAGGGGCCAAGAGGAGGAAGCCGAGUCAUGGGUUGUGAAGUACAAUUGCUGAAGAAUGGACAGAAGAGCAGUGAGAAGGCCAUGAUCCCAGCCAGGGAUCCCAGCCUCUUGGCUGCCAUCCCAGUCACCCAGCGGCAACCACUGAAGAGGGCUGUGGGUGAACCCAUUGUAAGCAAGACCUUU